AGAGUUUGAUCAUGGCUCAGGACGAACGCUGGCGGCGUGCUUAACACAUGCAAGUCGAACGGACCUGAUGUAGCAAUAUGUCAGGUUAGUGGCGAACGGGUGAGUAACACGUGACUAAUCUGCCCCGGACUGGGGAAUAACGGAGGGAAACUUCCGCUAAUACCGCAUGUCGAGCACGGGUCUCAUGACCUGCGCUUGAAAGCUUCGGCGGUUCGGGAUGAGGUCGCGCCCCAUUAGCUUGUUGGCGGGGUAACAGCCCACCAAGGCGACGAUGGGUAGCUGGUCUGAGAGGACGAUCAGCCACACUGGGACUGAGAUACGGCCCAGACUCCUAUGGGAGGCAGCAGUGAGGAAUAUUGCGCAAUGGGCGAAAGCCUGACGCAGCAACGCCGCGUGAGGGAUGAAGGUGCUCUGCAUUGUAAACCUCUGUAGGGAGGGACGAACCGCUCGGUCAUCCGAGCUUUGACGGUACCUCCAAAGUAAGCACCGGCUAACUCCGUGCCAGCAGCCGCGGUAAUACGGAGGGUGCAAGCGUUGUCCGGAUUCACUGGGUGUAAAGGGCGUGUAGGCGGGGAAAUGUGUCGGAAGUGAAAUCGUACGGCUUAACCGUAUCAAUGGCUUCCGAAACUAUUUCUCUUGAAUGC
rnacentral:rRNA from 1 species